AACUGACUGGGAGCCAAAACCUAGGGUCAGGAAAGGAUUGAAAACAAGCAUGAAUUCACAGAUUCGGGAGGUAACGGAAGUCCUGGGAACCAACCUGUCUCGUCAGGCAGCUCUGUUAACCACUCCACCCUCAGCAGAGUGACCAGAUACACGGAGACCUCGACCUGGGUGUUACAAGUGGAUUACCUCUUUGUUCUGCUACUGAAUCAUUGUAAAUACUUCGGGCAAGUAAAUUAACCUGCUGAGUUUAUUAUCUCAUGAAUAUACAAGUAAAGACAGUGAACUAAACCAGGAACUCCAGAGGAGACCUAAGGUUUGAGAAAGAAGAAUGAGUAUGCAUUCAGUUCCAUGCAGACGCAACACCGUAAUUCUAAUGCAUUUGACCAUUUCAACUUCACAGUCACACAGUAAGAAUCCACAAAUCCCAGAAUCUCUUAGGUGGUUCCUGCGUCCACCAACCUUGAGAUGUAAUGGGCCAGCAAUGGUCUUUUGCUCAGAGACAGAAUCUCACUACAUUGCCCAGGCUGGUCUCAAACUCUUGGCCUCAAGCCAUCCUCCCACCUUGGCCUCCCAAAGAGCUGGGAUUAUAGGCAUAAGGCACCCUGCUGGCUGAAAUGACAUGUAUAAAAUGAGACUGUAAAUAGUAAAAACUAAGAAUACCUAUGAAAACAAGAAUUGUUAUGAGUAUUCUGAGUGAGGCAAGCAUCUGUCACACACUGAGAUUCACCUGCCCAAGUGUCCUGGCUCUGUUGGUGGCACUUAGAGACAGCAAGACUUGCUUACCUUAAUAUUUUCAUUGUACGUGUCAGAGUAAGGCACAGCUUGAAAUCUAAUGUCUUGGUUGCUGAUGUUUGUGGUCAAAUGAUGAACGACUUUCUGCACCUCCUCCACAGCCUGGGAAAUCUGCUGGCGCCUCAAGUCCACCUGGGUGUGAGAGGGACCAGCAAUGGUGGUUAUUUCCUCUGUGGGCCCCAAGAUACCAGCAUAAGAGAGUGAGGAGACAAGGGUACAGCAAGGGGUGACUGAGGGAGUUCAGCUCAAAAAUCCUGCCUUCCCAAGAUGCCGGGGAGAUGAAUUUAGGUCUGACUCCAUUGAGAAGACACUUGGUGGUGCCUCAAUGUUCUUUUCUGUAACAGAUGCAUUCAUUUGAUAUUUAUCUAGGACCUACUAUGUAGCAGGUGCCAGGCUGGGUGCUGGGGACACAACAGUGAUUAAGACAACAGUGAACAAUGUAGAUACUUGCCCUCUAGCUGAAAAUAUAGG
rnacentral:lncRNA from 1 species